UACGUAGGGUGCAAGCGUUAAUCGGAAUUACUGGGCGUAAAGCGUGCGCAGGCGGUUUUUGUAAGUCUGUCGUGAAAUCCCCGGGCUCAACCUGGGAAUUGCGAUGGAGACUGCAAGGCUAGAAUCUGGCAGAGGGGGGUAGAAUUCCACGUGUAGCAGUGAAAUGCGUAGAGAUGUGGAGGAACACCGAUGGCGAAGGCAGCCCCCUGGGUCAAGAUUGACGCUCAUGCACGAA
rnacentral:rRNA from 1 species